GAAAUGGUAAAGGGCCUACACAUAUUGUUGGGGAUUUCGUUUUGCACUCCCGUAGUUUCUUCCAACACCUCCCAUGGUCCUUCCUCAACACCCUUUGAUCUUGCUUUUUUUUUUUUGCUCCUAUAUUUUUUUUUUAGAGUUCAACAUAUUUGAUGGAGGUAUUUCCAAUCUCCAACAACGAAUUCUAGAUUAACCUUGAAGCUUUCUUUAUGUAAA
rnacentral:lncRNA from 1 species